UAGGAACUCUGCAAUCUCCUGUUGCUAGGUCAUCAGACAGACUGAACAUUCUGGAACUCUGAUAUUGACUAGGAACUCUGAUGGCAACUGUUACUAGGUCCUCAGGCAGACUCAAGUUUGGCUCUCAAGGAGUAAGCAACAAUGGAAGCCACUGAGAUGAAUGUACAGAAGUCAAUCGCUCUUCGACAUCCAGCUCGCGGCCCACUACCGACAUGUGCAUGCCUGCCCUUCUGAAAUCCAAAAGGCCUGACCCUCCUCACCCAGGGUGACUCCCCAGGGAUGGACACUCUUCAAGGACUGGUUGUCACAGACGACCAGGAUGUUGUGUGACCCCAUCUGGAGCAGACUUUGAUGUGGCUGACUCAGUCUGAUGGGGAGACUCUCAUAUGCAAUGCAGAAGAUCCAAGAGUACAGUCUCAUCAUUGUCCUCCAAAGUUAUAUAAUGUGUUUCCUUGUGUAUCUGACAAUAACUCACAUCAUGCUCAACGUCCCUAGAUGAAAUUGUUAUUGGCAAAAUGUAACAGUGUCAAUCUAAGUCCUGGACUGUCUGCCAAACAGGACACUCUGACAAGUAAACAAGCUUCCAAAAUGAAUCACACUUUAUAUUGCAUUUCACCCACAAAGGGAAGCAGAUGGAAGGUGUUUUAGUUGAUAUCCUCUCUAACGAUUGAAAUACUGAUCAUUUCUCAAGAAGCUGGAAACAGAGACAUAGAAAAAUGAAGAUUCUUCUGUUAACCGCUGUUAUCGGCUUUGCUUGCACAGAAGAGGUACUUAAUAUUGGUUAAAUUAUAUUUUUUUCCUAAAGCAAAGCAGCUUGCAAUAUUGUCGUAGACA